GUAGGGAAUAUUGGACAAUGGGGGCAACCCUGAUCCAGCGACGCCGCGUGAGUGACGAAGGCCUUCGGGUCGUAAAGCUCUGUUGCAAGGGAAAAACAAAAUGAUGGUACCUUGCUAGAAAGGAUCGGCUAACUUCGUGCCAGCAGCCGCGGUAAGACGAGGGAUCCUAGCGUUGUUCGGAAUUAUUGGGCGUAAAGCGGGUGUAGGUGGCUUUGUAAGUCAGGUGUGAAAGCCUGGGGCUUAACCGCAGAAGUGCAUUUGAUACUGCGAAGCUUGAGUGCUGGAGAGGCUACUAGAAUUCGUGGUGUAGUGGUGAAAUACGUAGAUAUCAAGAGGAAUACCGGAGGCGAAGGCGGGUAGCUGGCCAGACACUGACACUCAGACCCGAAAGCGUGGGGAUCAAACAGGAUUAGAAACCCUGGUAGUCC
rnacentral:rRNA from 1 species